rnacentral:rRNA from 1 species
GAUUUUCGCAAUGCCCGAAAGGGUGACGAAGCGACGCCGCGUGCGGGAAGAAGGCCUUCGGGUUGUAAACCGCUGUCGGGAGUUAAGAAAUGUAAGGAUGUUAAUAGCAUCUUUGCUUGACUAAGGCUCCGGAGGAAGCCACGGCUAACUCUGUGCCAGCAGCCGCGGUAAUACAGAGGCGGCAAGCGUUGUUCGGAAUUAUUGGGCGUAAAGAGCACGUAGGCGGCUAUGUAAGUCGGUUGUGAAAGCCUUCCGCUCAACGGGAGAACAGCAUCCGAUACCGCAUGGCUUGAGUGCGGGAGGGGAGAGUGGAACUUCUGGUGGAGCGGUGAAAUGCGUAGAUAUCAGAAGGAACGCCGGCGGCGAAAGCGGCUCUCUGGCCCAUAACUGACGCUGAGUGUGCGAAAGCUAGGGGAGCAAACGGGAUUAGAUACCCCGGUAGUCCUAGCCGUAAACGAUGGGCACUAAGUAGAGGGGUUUUAAUC